rnacentral:rRNA from 1 species
AUUGAACGCUGGCGGCAGGCCUAACACAUGCAAGUCGAACGGUAACAGAAAGCAGCUUGCUGCUUUGCUGACGAGUGGCGGACGGGUGAGUAAUGUCUGGGAAACUGCCUGAUGGAGGGGGAUAACUACUGGAAACGGUAGCUAAUACCGCAUAACGUCGCAAGACCAAAGAGGGGGACCUUCGGGCCUCUUGCCAUCGGAUGUGCCCAGAUGGGAUUAGCUAGUAGGUGGGGUAAAGGCUCACCUAGGCGACGAUCCCUAGCGGGUCUGAGAGGAUGACCCGCCACACUGGAACUGAGACACGGUCCAGACUCCUACGGGAGGCAGCAGUGGGGAAUAUUGCACAAUGGGCGCAAGCCUGAUGCAGCCAUGCCGCGUGUGUGAAGCAGGCCUUCGGGUUGUAAAGUACUUUCAGCGGGGAGGAAGGGAGUAAAGUUAAUACCUUUGCUCAUUGACGUUACCCGCAGAAGAAGCACCGGCUAACUCCGU